AUUGAACGCUGGCGGCAGGCCUAACACAUGCAAGUCGAGCGAGCGGCGGACGGGUGAGUAAUGUCUGGGAAACUGCCUGAUGGAGGGGGAUAACUACUGGAAACGGUAGCUAAUCCCGCAUACCAUCAGAUGUGCCCAGAUCGGAUUAGCUAGUAGGGGGGGUAACGGCUCACCUAGGCGACGAUCCCUAGCUGGUCUUAGAGGAUGACCAGCCACACGGGAACUGAUACACGGGCCAGACGCCUACGGGAGGCAGCAGUGGGGAAUAUUGCACAAUGGGCGCAAGCAUGAUGCAGCCAUGCCGCGUGUGUGAAGAAGGCCUUCGGGUUGUAAAGCACUUUCAGCGGUGAGGCGUUACCCGCAGAAGAAGCACCGGCUAACUCCGUGCCAGCAGCCGCGGUAAUAC
rnacentral:rRNA from 1 species